AUAUUAAGAGACUGUUGGUUUUUUGUACAUGUACCUCAAGUUUCCCUGCAAAAUUUGUACUUUAUAGCAAGCUGGGAGUUAAUAUUGACACCGUUUAUGGGAGACCGUGCGUGCAACUUCACCUAGUUAAAAGCCGGUCAACAGGGGGCGGUAUACAAGACGACCAGUUUUGUCUUUUUGGUAUUUUUUUCUCGAACUUCUUAAAACUUAAACUUAAAGUUUGCGCGCCUAUAGAUUCCUACUACUAAAAAGUAGCCUGCAAAAACAGAAGUGAUAGUUCUGCUGAGCCUAGAUAAAGUAGCGGAAAGGGUAUCUCCAAGUCCAAUUCAGCUAAAACUUCCCAUGUACAUCUCUCGAGGAUAGCGUUUGAUGGUGGGCCUAUGUCACCACAGUGGCAGCAGUAUCACACCUAUGCAAAGUGCUGCAAAGUACUGAUGACUCCAGAGCCACGUUCUGGGUACCUGCCCCGCUGCAUGAUAUUUUAUCCUCCCUGGAUGACAUCCAGAAUAUAAUGCUGUCAUCGGCUGGCAUUGUUUGUCUUAACAGGUGACUUUGAAAGUGCAUCCCGUCCCGACGCAAUCCUGGCAAAUUUACAACAUCAAG